rnacentral:lncRNA from 1 species
GCUAACGUGCCCGAGCACUACCAUUAUGGGGUGUUUGUAAGGGGCAAAACAGUUGAAAUUGGCGAGGAGGACAUAAACGGAUGUUAUCAACUGCCAUUAGAGGGCCUGGAUGAUGGGUAUGCUAGACUCGUGAGUGAUGGACCGGACUAUGAAAAUAUAAUUCAUGAGCUGUAUCAACCGGGCACCACAUAGACAGUACAUGAACGCGGAAGCAUGACCUUUCCACUCUCUAACCUCAGCUUAUAUGGGAAGGCGUGGUAUGCGUUUAUCUGCGCAAAACUCAUGCCAUGCACCCAUGUGAGUUAUGUCACCAGGGAACGAGCAGUGCUUUUAUACUCCAUAAUCAAAGGAUUCAAAAUUGAUGUAGGCCAUCUUAUUCAGUAGUCUAUCCUUCGAGCAUCCCGAGGAGGGACCACAGGGGGGUUACCACAUCCGUCUCUCAUCUGCGUGUUGUGUGCUAAGUUUGGAGUAAAAUGGAAAUCAGAUGAGAUGAUUCAAAUGCCUAUGCCCGUGUUGGACCACAAGUUGAUAAGCAGGUAUAAAGUAUGAACUGGUGGAGCAAACCACCCUAGGGGAUUGGGUUUCAUAAUUCCCCAAACUGAAACUUUUCAAGCUCCACCACCUCAGGCUCCACCUACUUAUGGUCCUUCAUCCGCAGCUUAUCGUGGUGUGGUUCCCGAAGCAGUCCAACGAGAAGUUAACUUAUGGUUUUACAAUCUGGAAGCCCAAAAUGUCUGCCUCUCGAAACGUCAAGAUGUGAUUUACAAGUAUUUGGUUGAUCAGUUUACAGCCUAGAAUGCUAUGAACGCCCAACUAUUUCUGGGUAUUAGUCUCAGUCAGUUCCCUUCUGCCCCAGUUUUACCAGUCUUUUCCCCUUCCGAUUUAUAGAUGAGCGAGGAUGAUGAUGCUCCACCCGAGGCAUAAGCUCGUCAGGGAAGUCCUUUGUUUUAUAUUAUUUUAUCUUUCGCAUGAGGACAUUGCUCUAGAUAAGUUUGGGGGUAGUUUAUUUAGUUUAUUUUUAUUUGCAUGAGUAGAUUGUGAUUGUUAAUAGUUUGUG